rnacentral:rRNA from 1 species
UACGUAGGGCGCAAGCGUUAUCCGGAAUUAUUGGGCGUAAAGAGCUCGUAGGCGGCCAACUAAGUCAUACGUGAAAUCCCUCGGCUUAACCGGGGAACUGCGUCUGAUACUGGAUGGCUUGAGUUCGGGAGAGGGAUGCGGAAUUCCAGGUGUAGCGGUGAAAUGCGUAGAUAUCUGGAGGAACACCGGUGGCGAAGGCGGCAUCCUGGACCGAUACUGACGCUGAGGAGCGAAAGCCAGGGGAGCAAACGGG